rnacentral:rRNA from 1 species
GUACACGCUGUGACUAGCAUAUCAAUAAGCGGAGGAAAAGAAACUAACAAGGAUUCCCCUAGUAACGGCGAGUGAAGCGGGAAGAGCUCAAAUUUGAAAUCUUAAAGGGUUUCCCUUUACGAAUUGUAGUUUAAAGAAGUGUUUUCUGUUGAGGUUUUGGUAAAAGUUCUUUGGAAUAGGACAUCAUAGAGGGUGAGAAUCCCGUAUUUGACCUUUACUUUCAACUUUGUGAUACACUUUCAAAGAGUCGGAUUGUUUGGGAAUGCAGUCCAAAAUGGGUGGUAAAUUUCAUCUAAAGCUAAAUAUUGGCGAGAGACCGAUAGCGAACAAGUACCGUGAGGGAAAGAUGAAAAGAACUUUGAAAAGAGAGUUAAACAGUACGUGAAAUUGUCAAAAGGGAAGCGUUUGACACCAGUGUUGUUUUUCUGAAAAUCAAUUAAAGAACUGUUUAUGCUAAGUUGUUUAGACUUUAUCAGCUAACUGUUUAGUUUUGAGCUUUUCUUUAAUGCACUUUUCAGUUAACAAGUCAACAUCAAUUUCUUUUGCUGUAAAAAAGCUUGAGGAAGGUGGCUUGAGAUUCGUCUUAAGUGUUUAUAGCCUCUUGCCUAUGCAGUCGGAGAGAUUGAGGUCUGCAGCGUAGAUCCUUCGGGGCUAAAUGCAUUUGUGCUAAGUUAUAGCAUUUUAUAGACAACUUGUUGACUAUGAUUUGUCUUGUAGCUUACUCGCUUAUGUUAUUUUACCUACGCUUAGGAUGUUGAAGAUGUAGCACAUCA